rfam:Brassica napus, WGS project CCCW01000000 data, contig: 39405
GGAAUAUAAGAACCCGUCUCUUAACUUUUAACUAAAAAAACUAAGAAUCGGCUCUUAAAUAAGAGUUUUAAGAACCGGUUCUUAAAUAAGAGUUUUAAGAACCGGUUCUUAACUUUUUUAGUUAAAAAUUAAAAGACGGGUUCUUAUAUUCC